AAACGACUCUCGGCAACGGAUAUCUCGGCUCUCGCAUCGAUGAAGAACGUAGCGAAAUGCGAUACUUGGUGUGAAUUGCAGAAUCCCGUGAAUCAUCGAGUYUUUGAACGCAARUGCGCCCGAAGCCUUYUGGCCGAGGGCACGUYUGCCUGGGUGUCACGC
rnacentral:rRNA from 1 species